GUCCUCGUAGCCCAACCGGCAGAGGCCCGACGUUGAGGACGUCGCCAGUGCGGGUUCAACUCCCGCCGAGGACACCG
rnacentral:tRNA from 2 species